AGAGUUUGAUCCUGGCUCAGGAUGAACGCUAGCGGCAGGCUUAACACAUGCAAGUCGAGGGGUAAGUCCCGAUUUAUCGGGAACACGACCGGCGCACGGGUGAGUAACGCGUAUGCAACCUACCUUUAACCAGGGAAUAGCCCGGAGAAAUUCGGAUUAAUACCCUAUAAUAUACUAGUAUGGCAUCAUAUAAGUAUUAAAGCUCCGGCAGUUAAAGAUGGGCAUGCGUGGCAUUAGUUUGUUGGUGAGGUAACGGCUCACCAAGGCUAUGAUGCCUAGGGGGUCUGAGAGGAUGAUCCCCCACACUGGUACUGAGACACGGACCAGACUCCUACGGGAGGCAGCAGUGAGGAAUAUUGGUCAAUAGGCGAAAGCCUGAACCAGCCAUGCCGCGUGCAGGAUGAAUGCCCUAUGGGUUGUAAACUGCUUUUGUACAGGAAGAAACCUCCCGAUGUAUCGGGAAUUGACGGUACUGUACGAAUAAGGAUCGGCUAACUCCGUGCCAGCAGCCGCGGUAAUACGGAGGAUCCAAGCGUUAUCCGGAUUUAUUGGGUUUAAAGGGUGCGUAGGCGGAAUAAUAAGUCAGUGGUGAAAUCCUGCAGCCUAACUGUAGAACUGCCAUUGAUACUGUUAUUCUUGAGUAUAGUUGAGGUGGGCGGAAUGUGUAAUGUAGCGGUGAAAUGCUUAGAUAUUACACAGAACACCAAUUGCGCAGGCAGCUCACUAAACUAUUACUGACGCUGAGGCACGAAAGCGUGGGGAGCGAACAGGAUUAGAUACCCUGGUAGUCCACGCCGUAAACUAUGAUUACUCGAUGUGUGCGAUAUAUUGUACGCGUCUGAGCAAAAGCAUUAAGUAAUCCACCUGGGGAGUACGUCGGCAACGAUGAAACUCAAAGGAAUUGACGGGGGCCCGCACAAGCGGAGGAACAUGUGGUUUAAUUCGAUGAUACGCGAGGAACCUUACCUGGGCUUAAAUGUAACCUGACUUUUCUCGAAAGAGAUUUUCCCUUCGGGGCAGGUUGCAAGGUGCUGCAUGGCUGUCGUCAGCUCGUGCCGUGAGGUGUCGGGUUAAGUCCCAUAACGAGCGCAACCCUUAUCGUUAGUUGCCAGCGAGUAAUGUCGGGGACUCUAACGAAACUGCCAGUGUAAACUGUGAGGAAGGUGGGGAUGACGUCAAGUCAGCACGGCCCUUAUGUCCAGGGCCACACACGUGUUACAAUGGCUGAUACAAAGGGCAGCUACUAGGUGACUAGGUGCUAAUCUCAAAAGUCGGUCUUAGUUCGGAUCGAAGUCUGCAAUUCGACUUCGUGAAGCUGGAUUCGCUAGUAAUCGCGCAUCAGCCAUGGCGCGGUGAAUACGUUCCCGGGCCUUGUACACACCGCCCGUCAAGCCAUGGAAGCCGGGGGUACCUGAAGUCCGUAACCGCAAGGAGCGGCCUAAGGUAAAACUGGUAACUGGGGCUAAGUCGUAACAAGGUA
rnacentral:rRNA from 1 species